CAUUUAAUUUCCCUUUGGGAUCAAUAAAUUAUUUAUGAAUUGAAUUGAAAUGAGACAAAAGCAACCAGACUAGUUUUACGUUUAAACUUCGGAGUCAUCAUAGUUCGAAUCUUACAUAAAACAACUGUUCGCUGCAUCACUUCUUCGUUUAUCAAGGCGCUUUUUCUUUUUGGAGGCAGUGAGCUUUGGGAGCUUGUUUUCCUAAAACUUCAUUUGUGUUUUGUAUUAGUCACCCAAUUAAACCCCUGCUGGAGGAGAAUCAAGAUACAGGUCUGUAAUCAUGACGCACUGAGGCUGAGCAGCCCAGCAGCUCGCUCUAAAUCAGAUCCUUUAGCAGAUGAAUAGAUUACAGAUAUCGCACAACAUGACAAAAAGCACAGCAGAAACUUGGCCUUUUAUGAAAAGUGUCGCUCAUCCUCAAAGAGUUAUAUUUGUGAGAACGACAUCUGCAGGGAACGCUUCUUUUCUGACUCGUACAAACAGUUUCUAGCUGACUUUUUGGGUUAAAUUGCUACAACUGGCUUCUCCCUUGGUGCCUUCUUGUUUUAGUGACCCUCCUUGGUGCCAAACGCAGAGAACUAGAACUUGAGUGAAGGGACUGGACAGUGAUAUGUGUGGACAAGACAAAACAAAUCACUCAGAACAAAUCCCCAGCCUGAUUCUCAAGUGCCAGUGGGAUCAUUUCGGUCCUGGGGGGAAAUUAGAGAGUAAUUUGGCUGAGUGUCUCCCCACAUUAGCGCCUGCGUUUUUGGGCUCCGGGGCCAGACGAGGGGGACCCAGCGCGGCCCGGCUUCCUGUGCGCGAUGGGACCAGGCGGGACAUGGUGUCUCGGGUGCCUCACUUUAAGCUGACCCGCCGUCUGCUGCUUGCACUUAACGCCGCAGAUAACGCAGGUUUUAUAGCACACGGCUGGUGACAGACAGGAUCAGACUGCCAGGCCACCACUGGAUUCAGGGUUCAGGGUUAGACACGGUGAGGCCUCCACCCAAGCAGCCGCUCGCCCAUCAACAAUGAGCAGUUAGGGGGAGCAGGGGCUGUGUCACCAUGACUACCUCAAACACCCACAUCAGUAGACGGAGAGGGCCAUCAGACAGGCCGGCUGGGCUGGACGUCGCUGCGUCCCAGGAGGGAGCGGAAGCUGUGCAAGUUUGAAGAGCAAAGAGUCUUCACAGUGGAUCCAACGGAUCUGCUAACUAAACGGUCUGAACAGCUGGGGUUCUGUUACAAGACGAUGGAGAAAACAUAAGGAGCACGGUGCAGAUGAUGGCUCUAGACUGCUUCACGUUCAACAAUUUGUGUAAUUCAUUUCCCUCUUAUUACUAGUCCUAAAGACAUUUUUACUUGCGGAGAAAUGUUCGCAUUUUGGCGUCUAAAUCCUUUUCUAAAAAUCUUUGGGAAGGAAAGUUAUUUAGCCAAGUUGUACUGAUUAAACAGCAGAUAGUGUCUACCACAGCUGUGACUGAAAUACUUUGACUACAUCUACAUAUUGUGAGGUUUCUUGAAUGUACAACAUUUCAUAGCAUCUCUUAGACAAAACAACGGAGGUUUGCAGCAAAUCCCAGCAUGGAGUUUGCAGCUUCCUCUUCAUGCAUGUCUCCUUAGAUUGCUCCUAAGUAUGAGUCUGUGUGUGUCUGUCAUAGUAAAAACCGUAUUUGAUAAAUUAAUACCAAAAACAAAAUACUUAAAGUGUUUUCAAUUUAUUACUUAUACACAUAUAAAGCAUAUUGCACAGGAAGUCCUGCCAGCCCUCACCACACAAGGAAUCCCCUUUUAAAACAUUGUGAAAAACAAAAACAGAAUAAAGAGCCUAUAUAGUUGUAAAAGGAACCGAAACACACCCCUUCAUACUUUGUUCAUUUUUCCAGCUCGUGUUGAAGCGUUGAACAAAGAGCUGUCAGGUUUAACAAAAACCACGAGGAGAAUUAGAAACUGCAUUUCCUGCAUUGUGAGUGAAACCCCAGCAUGUUUCUGAGCAUUACAUGAGGGAUUUAUAUUAUUUUAUUUUGCCUCCUUAAUUAUUUAGUAUUUACUUCUUUUUUAAAGGACAAAUAUUAUGAUCAUUCAGAAUCUUCAAAGGCAACAAACACUCAAAUUUAAAUUACUUCCACGCUAUACUUAGACAAAAAUUAAAUCUCUGUUUUGCGUUUUAUUUUUCAGUAUGUGACAAAAAAAUAAAAUAGGCUUAAAUGUGAUUUCACUGCAUUAUCCUUUGUAUUAUCCUCUAAGGAAAUCUGUUAAGUGUACACGCGUGUAGUGCAAGGGGUGUCGGACUUGCUGGGUCACAUUGGCACUGCUGGUCUGUAAAGAAAAGUCUGAACUGGUUUGUGUAGGUUAACAUUAAAAACUCUCAAGUCUACCUUGGCAAAAAAGCAGUUUCUCAUCUCUGUAAGGCCAGACGUGCCACAUUUGGCGAUAGUGCAGAAACCUGGUGACUAAGCUGUAGUUACAGACCGUUUUACUCUGCUUCUGUUGUGUAAACAUUUAAAAUGGUGUUAAAUCCUGAUGUUCGGGAUUCAGAGCCUUGAAAAGUUUCCCUGCAUCCGUCAAAUGACACUGCGAGCUAAAUUUUACGUGCGAGCUUUAAUAUAAAUAAAUCCUUCAUCACAGGAGCUUCAUCUGAUACUGAAUUGUUAACUAAAUUACAAGUGGCACACAUACUGGCAACCCUGUGGUCAGUUUAUUUCGUCGUCUAUUAUAAUGUUUAUAUAUGGUCGGAGCAGAUGACUCCUCUUUUUCACAUCACUUUUCUAUAAGGUCAGUGACAGAGGUUGAUUUUGUGUCUUGUAAAUAAUUUCCCCACUUAUUUGGAAUCAUUAUUCACUUCCUGGUAGAGUCCACAAGAUUUUUUUUU